rnacentral:rRNA from 1 species
UGGGGAAUCUUGGACAAUGGGGGCAACCCUGAUCCAGCGAUGCCGCGUGAGUGAAGAAGGCCUUCGGGUCGUAAAGCUCUUUAGGUUGGGACGAAGGUUAUAGGGGGAUAAUCCUUAUAGCUUGACGGUACUAACAGAAUAAGCACCGGCAAACUCUGUGCCAGCAGCCGCGGUAAUACAGAGGGUGCAAGCGUUAAUCGGAGUUACUGGGCGUAAAGGGUGCGUAGGCGGUCAAUUGGGUGUGGUGUGAAAGCCCCGGGCUUAACCUGGGAAGUGCAUCGCAAACUAAUAGACUGGAGUAUAUGAGAGGGUGGCGGAAUUUCCGGUGUAGCGGUGAAAUGCGUAGAGAUCGGAAGGAACGUCAAUGGCGAAGGCAGCCACCUGGCAUAAUACUGACGCUGAGGCACGAAAGCGUGGGGAGCGAACAGG